GAUGAACGCUGGCGGCGUGCCUAACACAUGUAAGUCGAACGUGAGGGCUUGAGCAAUCGAGUCUGAAAGUGGCGAACGGGUGAGUAACACGUGGAUGACCUGCCCUGGAGUGGGGGAUAACCACUGGAAACGGUGGCUAAUACCGCAUACGACCUUGGAUGUGGGAACAUUUGAGGUGAAAGGUUGCACUGCUCUGGGAGGGGUCUGCGGUCGAUUAGCUAGUUGGUGGGGUAAAGGCCUACCAAGGCGAUGAUCGAUAGCUGGUCUGAGAGGAUGAUCAGCCACACGGGAACUGAGACACGGUCCCGACUCCUACGGGAGGCUG
rnacentral:rRNA from 1 species